rnacentral:rRNA from 1 species
GAUGAACGCUGGCGGCGUGCCUAAUACAUGCAAGUCGAGCGAACGGACGAGAAGCUUGCUUUUCUGAUGUUAGCGGCGGGCGGGUGAGUAACACGUGGAUAACCUACCUAUAAGACUGGGAUAACUUCGGGAAACCGGAGCUAAUACCGGAUAAUAUUUUGAACCGCAUGGUUCAAAAGUGAAAGACGGUCUUGCUAUCACUUAUAGAUGGAUCCGCGCUGCAUUAGCUAGUUGGUAAGGUAACGGCUUACCAAGGCAACGAUGCAUAGCCGACCUGAGAGGGUGAUCGGCCACACUGGAACUGAGACACGGUCCAGACUCCUACGGGAGGCAGCAGUAGGGAAUCUUCCGCAAUGGGCGAAAGCCUGACGGAGCAACGCCGCGUGAGUGAUGAAGGUCUUCGGAUCGUAAAACUCUGUUAUUAGGGAAGAACAUAUGUGUAAGUAACUGUGCACAUCUUGACGGUACCUAAUCAGAAAGCCACGGCUAACUACGUG